UAAAUUUAAAAUAAAAACUUAUAAUAGGUUAUUAAUAACGAAAAUAAACUAAUAUUGUCAUAUCAAUAAUUUUUUAAAAAUUAUCAUUUUUAAUUUGGAAAACAUAAUAAAAUUUCAUCAAAUUCUAAGGAAUCACUAAUUUAUGUAAUAUUAAAAAAAAUAUGAGUAAUUUAAUCAAUUUUUUUUAAAAUACUAUCAUAUAUUUUAUGUUUUAUCGGAUCAAUGGUAUCAGAUCAUAGGUUAAUAAUGAUUUUUUUUGGUUUUUACCGAUUAUAUCGGAUUUUUAACUAACAAAUUUUUCAUUAAAUCUGAACCGUAUUAUAUACAAUGUAUCAGGUCUAUAGGUUCAACCAUGAAUCUAGGUCGGAUAUGAAAACAAAUCUUAAAGCUCAAACAUUAUUAUAGAACAACUACCGUAUUUUGAAAAGAAAAAAAAAACAAAUGAUAAAAACCUAAAAUCUUAAUUGUUAUGGUUCGAAAUGAAAAUAAUGGUGGUUUGUAAAUCAGUUUUCGAUCAAUAAAUAAAAAACAAACAAAUCAGCGCUCUUUAAGCGCGGGUCAAAAUCUAAUUCUCCUUAAACAUCAAGCUACUUAAAAUGCCACAUCAUAACAGUAGAAUUUUAAUAAUUUGUAUAUCUUAUAUUUUUGUAUCUUAAACUCUAUAAUAGUUAAAAGUUAUAUUCAUGCAUUAAGCAAAAACCCCUAUUUUCUCUCUGGUCUUCACGCCGCCUCCCUCUUCAACCUUUUUCUGGUUUCUCUUUUGAUCGGCGCGUGGCGGCUCCUUCAGCGCCGGCGCCGGUCAAAAUCUCUUCCUACGUCCUCUGCUUGUCUUGUUGUUCAUCGGUGUGUGACUUACUUUCGUUUUCAGAGGAGAGGAGAUUCGCCUUUACCAAAUCGCUUUUGGCUUUCAGAUUUAGGAUGGAUUUGGUUUCAAAAGUUCCGGAUCUAUGGAUUGACGGUGUUCACUAUCCUCAGUGAUUUUAAUUUGGCUUCUAUAUGUCCACUUUUAUGCCGUUCAUGGCCUGUUCUUGUCUUCUGGAUUAGGUGGUCCUCGCUCCUAGAUGUUCGUUUAGAUCUCGCGGAGAUCUGUUGUUGAUGCCGCUUCAUACCUAGGCUUUCUAUGGUCGUCGUAGAUCAAGCCGCUUCCGGGAAUGUUAGAAAGAAUCUUUACUUGCCGGUUUAUGAAGUUUUGGUUGGUGGGUCCUUGAGGUAUUUCUUCAGAGUGCUAGGAGGAGGAGGUUUGGCCGAGGGCAUUCCCACUAAGCAGCUGCCACAUAUGCUCUAUCUGAUAGUCUCCAUGUAUUUGUUAGUCUUGUUCUAGUAGUUUGGAAGGUUAGUUACUUGUUUAAGUGUGUAGUACCGUUUGUUCUUGUAUGCUGCCCCUGUAUGGGUUCUAGGUUCUGGGGAUAUCGCUGUUUUUUUCCGGUUUAGUUGACCACAGAAGGAUAUGUUAUCUGUUGGUGUUGUGUUGAAUUCUACUUUGCUUUUAAUAAAAUCUGUUGACGGAAAAAAAAACUCUAUAAUAGUUUUGCUAACGUGAAAAAGAAGAAUUUGUGGCUGUUUGAUUAACCAGAUACUGUAUAGUAUAUAUAGUUUUGUUUCUUUUGAACGAUAUGGAAGUGUCGUACUCCCAUGUAAAAAAGGUAAAAAUACCAACUACGUUAACUUGGGAGCACACUAAAGUUUAUAGAUUGUUUGAAAACCAAAGUCAAACGAUGUCAUUUCUGAGACAAUCCUCAAGUCACACCUACUAUAAAAUAAGACAAAUUUAUAGUGGACCAUUCUAUUCUUUUCUUUCCUUUUUAGGUGUAAGGACCAUACCAUUCUUGGAAGUAGUGUUUCAAUAUAAAAUAUUAAAUUUUUGAAGUUAGUUCAAAAAUCUACAUUUAUGAGCUUUUUAAUAAAAACUAAUGGUAAAAUUUUUAAACGUUCCUAUAACCCUUAUAUAUUAAAAAGACAAGCAUUCUAAUAAAUACAUUCACACUAUAAUAGAUAUAUAAGAGCCUUACAAUAAUUUGAUAAUAAGUAUGCUAAUGCGUUCGCACUAUAUUCAUAAAUGUGUUCAUACUAUAUACGUUGCGUUAUUUUUAAUAUAAAACUCACAUACAUUGUUCUAAUAAAACUUUAGAUUUUUCGAUUCAAAUAAAAAUAGAUAACGAAUCAAAAACCAAACUAUAUAUAUAUUAUUUUUAUUGUUUACGGAUAAAGUU